rnacentral:lncRNA from 1 species
CACCCACUUCAACGAGGUGCCCGCUGCGCCCGCGACCGCCGCCCCUUCCACCGGUCGGAUUUAAAGCGGACCAAGCUCCACGCUUUAGCAGAACCCGAGGAGCGGCGGGAGCGUCGCCUGGGAGAUGAGGGUAGGGCGAGUCUAGCACUCAGGGACGGAAACGAGAGCCCAACCACCGGCACUUCCGGGGGGCGGGAGGAAACGAAGGCGCGGCACCCGACGCAACGCCCAGCAGCCAAUCAGAAGGCGGGGCGCCCAUUCAAAUUGCGGCCUUCUGGGGAGCCGGCGCUGGAGGUGGUCGGCGGCAAAGGGGUCCCCGAACGAAGGGCGCAGGACAGCGCCCUUCUCUCUGUCUUCGUCUUCGCCCUUCUCUUCGUCUCUGCUGGGACCGAGAAGGCGGACUUCAUGGCCGCUGGGCCCGCGGGCUUCUCCCCGAGUCUCCCCGAGUCGGUUGGCAUUAAGAGGCAUUCCUGUAUUCAACAUACAUGGGCUGGGCGCAGUGGCACACACCUGUAAUCCCAGCACUUUGGGAGGCCGAGUUUAGCAGAUAUUUUCAGAAACGGAUACAUAAGAAAUGGCUGGAAAUCAAAUGAAUGUCCAAAGAAGAGCUUAGGGUCUUAUUCAUUUUUAAAAUAACUGUCAUUAUUCU